CCAAAUGCGAUGAAUAGAAGAGUAAAUGAAUGGAUUCUUUAACAGAGAGCUCCGAAAUCUGAGAAGGAGUAAAGAAUUAUUCAUUGAACCAAGUCUAUGAGCAUCAUAUCGGAACCGUAAAUUCAUUGGGGAUGAUGUGACAGGAGCUCCUGUUAUAGAGCUAGAGUAUAAGCAUUGUUGUAAUGCCGUACUUGAAGAGGUUAAUAUGGCGACAUAUUAACGAAUCUGGGGUGGUACCACGAAUAAUUCAAUCUCGUCCUCAAG
rnacentral:ncRNA from 1 species